CCUACGGGGGGCACCAGUGGGGAAUAUUGGACAAUGGGCGAAAGCCUGAUCCAGCAAUGCCGCGUGCGUGAAGAAGGUCUUCGGAUUGUAAAGCACUUUCGACGGGGACGAUGAUGACGGUAACCGGAGAAGAAGCCCCGGCUAACUUCGUGCCAGCAGCCGCGGUAAUACGAAGGGGGCUAGCGUUGUUCGGAAUUACUGGGCGUAAAGCGCGCGUAGGCGGAUAGAUAAGUCAGAGGUGAAAUCCCGGGGCUCAACCCCGGAAUUGCCUUUGAUACUGUUUAUCUUGAGUGCAGAAGAGGUAAGCGGAAUUCCGAGUGUAGAGGUGAAAUUCGUAGAUAUUCGGAGGAACACUAGUGGCGAAGGCGGCUUACUGGUCUGCAACUGACGCUGAGGCGCGAAAGCGUGGGGAGCAAACAGGAUUAGAUACCCCUGUAGUC
rnacentral:rRNA from 1 species